rnacentral:rRNA from 1 species
UACAGAGGGUGCAAACGUUGCUCGGAAUCAUUGGGCGUAAAGCGCACGUAGGCGGCCUAGCAAGUAGGGAGUGAAAGCCCUCGGCUUAACCGAGGAAGUGCUUUCUAAACUACUAGGCUUGAAUACUGGAGAGGGUCGCGGAAUUCCCGGUGUAGAGGUGAAAUUCGUAGAUAUUAGGAAGAACACCGGUGGCGAAGGCGGCCCACUGGAUCGGUACUGACGCUGAGGUGCGAAAGCGUGGGGAGCAAACAGG